GAUGAACGCUGGCGGCGUGCCUAAUACAUGCAAGUCGAGCGAACGGACGAGAAGCUUGCUUUUCUGAUGUUAGCGGCGGACGGGUGAGUAACACGUGGAUAACCUACCUGUAAGACUGGGAUAACUUCGGGAAACCGGAGCUAAUACCGGAUAAUAUUUUGAACCGCAUGGUUCAAAAGUGAAAGACGGUCUUGCUGCCACUUAUAGAUGGAUCCGCGCUGCAUUAGCUAGUUGGUAAGGUAACGGCUUACCAAGGCAACGAUGCAUAGCCGACCUGAGAGGGUGAUCGGCCACACUGGAACUGAGACACGGUCCAGACUCCUACGGGAGGCAGCAGUAGGGAAUCUUCCGCAAUGGGCGAAAGCCUGACGGAGCAACGCCGCGUGAGUGAUGAAGGUCUUCGGAUCGUAAAACUCUGUUAUUAGGGAAGAACAUAUGUGUAAGUAACUGUGCACAUCUUGACGGUACCUAAUCAGAAAGCCACGGCUAACUACGUG
rnacentral:rRNA from 1 species